AUUGAACGCUGGCGGCAGGCCUAACACAUGCAAGUCGAACGAGUGGCGGACGGGUGAGUAAUGUCUGGGGAUCUGCCUGAUAGAGGGGGAUAACUACUGGAAACGGUAGCUAAUACCGCAUACCAUCGGAUGUGCCCAUAUGGGAUUAGCUAGUAGGUGGGGUAAAGGCUCACCUAGGCGACGAUCCCUAGCUGGUCUGAGAGGAUGAUCAGCCACACUGGGACGGAGACACGGCCCAGACUCCUACGGGAGGCAGCAGUGGGGAAUAUUGCACAAUGGGCGCAAGCCUGAUGCAGCCAUGCCGCGUGUAUGAAGAAGGCCUUAGGGUUGUAAAGUACUUUCAGCGGGGAGGCGUUACCCGCAGAAGAAGCACCGGCUAACUCCGUGCCAGCAGCCGCGGUAAUUC
rnacentral:rRNA from 1 species